rnacentral:tRNA from 1 species
CUAAGAAUAAGCUAUUUAAGCUGUUGGGCUCAUAACCCAAAAAUGGAGAUUUUUUUCUUCUUAGA